GCCAGUCCCCACCAUUGCCAGCUGUGUGGGGCAGUCUGGGAGAGGAGCGCCUCUGCCACUGUAACAACUAGCCUUUGCUGGACUGCCUCGCCCACUCCAGCUGGGGUGCUUCACUUCUGUGAUUGCCUUUAAUGCUCCGAACAGCCCUGGGAAGUAGGGCCGAUCACCUCCAAUUCACAGGUGAGGAGACUAAGUGGCUUGCACGAGGUCACGCAGAUUUGGCGCGCUGGUGCAUUGGUGUCCCCGUCCUAUGCUCUGGGCACACAGGAGGGAGUGAUGUAAAGAGACAGUGAAUGAAGUUGUCCAGGGGCUCAAGCAUACCAGUAGGCAGACUGCGCCCAUCCUCCUGCCAAAAUGGCCCCUUCUCAAAGUCCCAGUGGAGAGAGGGCCAUCCUUCCUGCCCCACUCUGUGCCCUGCCCAUUUGUUGCUGGCUCUGUUUGGAGUCCCCCACACCCCUCAUUCCCCAGCCUCUUUCAUUGUCUUCUCCCUCCUCCCCACUGAGAGGAAUAGCAGUGGCUUUGGCAGGAGGCGUUCCCAUUGUCCUGAGUGGAGAGGGGCAUUCAGGUCCUGAGAGGGCAGGGCAGAUCAUGCCAGGGCCUGUCACCUCUUCCCAGGCUGCAAAGCAGCCUUCUUGGGGCCCAGGCUGGUUUUUUAUACAACA
rnacentral:lncRNA from 1 species